UCCUCUUGUCUUGUGGAAGCAAUUAAUGGAUGGUACAUUGGUACUCAAAUAUUCUUUUGUGAAAUUUACUAACAAAGUAAAAGUUUCUUAGUCUAAAUCUUUUAAUUGAUUAUUUGUAGAGAAAAAAAAAAUAUGACCACAAAAGAUUAUGUCCAAAAAUAUUGUAAUAUUUGACCUAUUCCAAUUUUAAUUUGUUUUAAAAUCAUUUCCCAAAAAUUUCACUACAAUUUUUUUUCUAAGAAAAUUCUUACAUGAUGUAUCUAAAAAUCGAUAACGGCUAAUUUAUUUUAGGGAAAAUUGGAUAAAAAAAUAAAUAAUUGAAAUAUUGUCCAUCUAACGCAUGCAAUAUCAUUGAUAAUUUUUAUUCAAAUACGAAAGCGACGAAGCACUCACUUUACUUAGGAUCCUUUACUUAAUAUCAUAAUAUAAAUAAAAUCUUAUCUACUGACUACAUUUAAAGGAAAAACCUUAUCUAAAACUGCUACAAUUCAUAGAAUGAGACUUUGAAAAACUUUCUCUCCCAGGCACGGUACCCAAGGAGGAUAUUAGAAGUAUGUCUCCCGCUUUUAACCAGAUCUAUGUUUCCUUUUGCAUCCCAAAAGUGGAAACUUCCAACGGUUAUUAACCAACCCUAAUGAGCUCCGACGAGAUUUUGGGUGAUUCCGACGUCUCCUCCUCCGCUUAUCCCCUCUGUUUCAAGCUCUAAUUUGGUUUUACAUCUUACUCCCACUCUCCUCAAGAGUUCUCUCAGGUAGUUUUCUGGUUUCUCACUAUGUCUUGUCUGCCUGUGUACUCUUGUCUCUUAACCUGUUAAACCUGUGCAAGCUUUUAACCCUUUUAAACCUUACUGCUUCUCCGAGAGCAUUUAUUUGAGUCCUGAAGAACUAUCUCCCCAACCUCUUAGCCCACAAUCUUUACUACACUCACCUGCACCCUUAAAUAUUCUUUUGUGAAAUUUACUAACAAAGUAAAAGUUUCUUAGUCUAAAUCUUUUAAUUGAUUAUUUGUAAAGAAAAAAAAAUAUGACCACAAAAGAUUAUGUCCAAAAAUAUUGUAAUAUUUGACCUAUUCCAAUUUUAAUUUGUUUUAAAAUUAUUUCCCAAAAAUUUCACUACAAUUUUUUUUCUAAGAAAAUUCUUACAUGAUGUAUCUAAAAAUAGAUAACAGCUAAUUUAGUUUUAAGGAAAAUUGGAUAAAAAGAAUA
rnacentral:sRNA from 1 species